GAUGUAACCCACGUUAAAAUCUGAUAUAAAUAGGAAUGAAUAGCGGAUUAAAAGUAUGUGAAUAGAAAAUGAUGUCGCUGCCCCUUUAAGAAACCAGUGUCAUAGCCAGGGUGACGCUGCAGUGCAAAAAACCAGGGGGAGAGAGCAGAGGAGGAAUCGGAGGAAAAGAGCGGUUGAUUAAUUAACGGAGAAAAAGUUAAUAUUAUAGUCAAGAAGACAUAAUUUACCUGGUCGGACACUGACAGGGAUUUUAUGAGAAUUAAGUUACAUCGGUUUUGGUCAGGUUUUUUUGAUCGGUUGGAAGUUCGGUUGGAGCGGAGAUCGGUCUGCCGUGUGCAACUUUGCACAUUCACAGACGGGAUUCAAGAUGGCGAGCCAGACCCAGACCUUCAAUUCAUCUUCUCCAUCGUAACAGGGAGGGACUCCCCUGCGUGUGGUAAUUCGCUACCUGAGAGAUAGGAAUUUCAGGAACGAGUUCAAAUCGAACUGAACAGGAUUAAAGAACUGAUUGAGCUACCAUUAUUAUUAUUUGUUCACCGGACUGAAUCAAACAGAAGCUUUCCAUUGAAUCUAGAACCUGAACUUACAUUUGGACUUGAACAUGGAUUUUAAAGUGCUAUACUUUGUUUUCAUAUGUUAUGUCUAUGAAUGUGAUUUGAAUAAUUGUGGUCCACUUUGAUCUAGUUGUGUUUGAGGGUAUUUCCUUACCUGUGAAGGACAAGAAACAAGUUAACCCAGGAAAAAAUAGGAAUCCUAAAAUAGGUGCAACCUAGGAAAAAAAGACUGGUCUGACUAACUUAAAUUAGUCUGACUAAAAUAACUUAAGGAAAAGUGACUGGUCUAACUAAAUUAGAUUAGUUUUACUAAAAUAAACCAGGUGAACUAA